GCAGUCGAGCGGACAGAAGGGAGCUUGCUCCCGGAUGUUAGCGGCGGACGGGUGAGUAACACGUGGGUAACCUGCCUGUAAGACUGGGAUAACUCCGGGAAACCGGAGCUAAUACCGGAUAGUUCCUUGAACCGCAUGGUUCAAGGAUGAAAGACGGUUUCGGCUGUCACUUACAGAUGGACCCGCGGCGCAUUAGCUAGUUGGUGGGGUAAUGGCUCACCAAGGCGACGAUGCGUAGCCGACCUGAGAGGGUGAUCAGACACACUGGGACUGAGACACGACCCAAACUCAUACGGGAGGCAGCAGUAGGGAAUCUUCCGCAAUGGACGAAAGUCUGACGGAGCAACGCCGCGUGAGUGAUGAAGGUUUUCGGAUCGUAUAGCUCUGUUGUUAGGGAAGAACAAGUGCGAGAGUAACUGCUCGCACCUUGACGGUACCUAACCAGAAAGCCACGGCUAACUACGUGCCAGCAGC
rnacentral:rRNA from 1 species